rnacentral:rRNA from 1 species
AUUGAACGCUGGCGGCAUGCUUUACACAUGCAAGUCGAACGGCAACAGGGUGCUUGCACCGCUGACGAGUGGCGAACGGGUGAGUAAUGCGUCGGAACGUGCCGAGUAGUGGGGGAUAACGCAGCGAAAGUUGUGCUAAUACCGCAUACGUACUGAGGUAGAAAGUGGGGGACCUUCGGGCCUCACGCUAUUCGAGCGGCCGACGUCUGAUUAGCUAGUAGAUGAGGUAAAGGCUCACCUAGGCGACGAUCAGUAGCGGGUCUGAGAGGAUGAUCCGCCACACUGGGACUGAGACACGGCCCAGACUCCUACGGGAGGCAGCAGUGGGGAAUUUUGGACAAUGGGCGAAAGCCUGAUCCAGCCAUGCCGCGUGUCUGAAGAAGGCCUUCGGGUUGUAAAGGACUUUUGUCAGGGAGGAAAUCCCUAGUGCUAAUAACACUGGGGGAUGACAGUACCUGAAGAAUAAGCACCGGCAAACUCUGUGCCAGCAGCCGCCGUAA